GCGUUACCUGUAAACCUUACGAGUAGGGGACGUCAGAAACAGAAAAUAAAACAAGGUUGAGAGGCCUUGGCGUUACCUGUAAACCUUACGAGUAGGGGACGUCAGAAACAGAAAAUUAAACAAGGUUGCAAGGCCUUGGCGUUACCUGUAAGUCUUACGAGUUGGGUACGUCAGAAAAAGAAAAAUUAAACAAGGUUGCAAGGCCUUGGCGUUACCUGUAAGUCUUACGAGUUGGGUANN
rnacentral:lncRNA from 1 species